rnacentral:rRNA from 1 species
GUCCUAGCCGUAAACGAUGCAUACUUGGCGUAGUCGGACUCAACCCUGACUGUGCCGUAACUAACGUGUUAAGUAUGCCGCCUGAGGAGUACGCUCGCAAGGGUGAAACUCAAAAGAAUUGACGGGGACCCGCACAAGCAGUGGAGUAUGUGGUUUAAUUCGAUGCAACGCGAAGAACCUUACCCGGAUUUGACAUACAGUAGACAGCCCCAGAAAUGGGGUCUUCCUUCGGGACUGCUGAACAGGUGCUGCAUGGCUGUCGU